rnacentral:rRNA from 1 species
UGACGGUACCUGCAGAAGAAGCUCCGGCUAACUACGUGCCAGCAGCCGCGGUAAUACGUAGGGAGCGAGCGUUAUCCGGAUUUACUGGGUGUAAAGGGAGCGUAGACGGCAAAGCAAGUCUGAAGUGAAAUCCCGGGGCUCAACCCUGGAACUGCUUUGGAAACUGUUUAGCUAGAGUGCAGGAGAGGUAAGUGGAAUUCCUAGUGUAGCGGUGAAAUGCGUAGAUAUUAGGAGGAACACCAGUGGCGAAGGCGGCUUACUGGACUGUAACUGACGUUGAGGCUCGAAAGCGUGGGGAGCAAACAGGAUUAGAUACCCUG